CUCUCCCUACAAGUCUGGCACCGAAGGAGAACUGUUUUGCUUUGCUCCGGGAAGAGUGCAGACACGACGUGAAAUCCGGAGCUCUUUGCGUGGUGCAUUUAAAAUGCUUCCUUAUUUAUAUUACCCUCAUCCCCUCCCCUCUCCCACCCCCUCACCAGCCCUUCCAAAUUUCCCUAGAAAUCUGUGUAAAGCGUGGAGGGGAAAACAUUUGCAUAAAAAGUGAAGGAGCACGCCAAGGAGUGUCAGCUGCCUCUUCACUCGACGCUGGAGAGAGUGACCUCAAGCAAAGAUCCACUCAAUGAAAAGAAUGAAGUUCCAUCUUUCUUCCUCCAGUGCCUUGGAUAACCCUGGUGUUUCUCCUCUCCUCAGAAAUAGGGGAGAUGAGCAGAGGCAGCUAUAUAAUUUGGGGGGCCCAAUACAAAAUGAAAAUGUAAAAUCCCUUGUUUAAAAAUCACGAAGAAAGUACCAUUAAUGAUGCUGAAAUAAAAGGUUCUCUCUUCUACAGUCUCUCUCUCAACUCACUAUGGAGCUGACUGCUUGCCAUUCAAUGUCGUGCUAAAUAAACAUUAUUUU
rnacentral:lncRNA from 1 species